rnacentral:rRNA from 1 species
GGGGGGGUUACAUGGCAGUCCGACGAAGCGAGACUAAAGCGCAAGCAGAGGUUCUUGACUGAGUGGCGGACGGGUGAGUAACGCGUGGAUAACCUGCCUUUCACAGGGGGAUAACAGCUGGAAACGGUUGCUAAUACCGCAUGAGCCUCUUUUGUCGCAUGACGGGAGAGGGAAAGAGAAAUCGGUGAGAGAUGGAUCCGCGUCCGAUUAGCUAGUUGGAGGGGUAACAGCCCACCAAGGCGACGAUCGGUAGCCGACCUGAGAGGGUGGACGGCCACAUUGGGACUGAGACACGGCCCAAACUCCUACGGGAGGCAGCAGUGGGGAAUAUUGCACAAUGGGGGAAACCCUGAUGCAGCAACGCCGCGUGAGUGAGGAAGUAUUUCGGUAUGUAAAGCUCUAUCAGCAGGGAAUAGAAAAGAAGGUACCUGAAAAAGAAGCCCCGGCUAACUACGUGCCAGCAGCCGCGGUAAUACGUAGGGGGCAAGCGUUAUCCGGAUUUACUGGGUGUAAAGGGAGCGUAGACGGAAAGGCAAGUCAGAAGUGAAAACCCAAGGCUCAACCAUGGGACUGCUUUUGAAACUGUCAAACUAGAGUACGGGAGAGGUAAGAGGAAUUCCUAGUGUAGCGGUGAAAUGCGUAGAUAUUAGGAGGAACACCAGUGGCGAAGGCGUCUUACUGGACCGAAACUGACGUUGAGGCUCGAAAGCGUGGGGAGCAAACAGGAUUAGAUACCCUGGUAGUCCACGCGGUAAACGAUGAAUACUAGGUGUUGGGGUAAAGAAACCUCGGUGCCGCAG